AUCCACUGCCAUAUCACCCUGCAGCCCAAGCCAGGUUACUCACUAAAGCUAAGCAGGGCUGAGCCUGGUCAGUACCUGGAUGGGAGACCACAUGGGAAAACUAGAUGACUGUUGAAA
ensembl:rRNA 5S_rRNA 5S ribosomal RNA